AUGCAAGUCGAACGAAGUCUCCCGGACCUGCGCCUUCGGGCAAAGGAAAGGGAUGACCUAGUGGCGAACGGGUGAGUAACGCGUGAGCAAUCUGCCUUUCGGUGGGGGACAACAGCUGGAAACGGCUGCUAAUACCGCAUAAUGUAUCAGAUGGCAUCUUCUGAUACCAAAGAUUUAUCGCCGAAAGAUGAGCUCGCGUCUGAUUAGAUAGUUGGUGAGGUAAUGGCUCACCAAGUCUGCGAUCAGUAGCCGGACUGAGAGGUUGAACGGCCACAUUGGGACUGAGAUACGGCCCAGACUCCUACGGGAGGCAGCAGUGGGGAAUAUUGGUCAAUGGGGGAAACCCUGAACCAGCAACGCCGCGUGAAGGAAGAAGGCUUUCGGGUUGUAAACUUCUUUGACGAGGGACGAAAAAAAUGACGGUACCUCGAAAACAAGCCACGGCUAACUACGUGCCAGCAGCCGCGGUAAUACGUAGGUGGCAAGCGUUAUCCGGAUUUACUGGGUGUAAAGGGCGCGUAGGCGGGACUGCAAGUCAGAUGUGAAAUCUCGGGGCUUAACCCCGAAACUGCAUUUGAAACUGUGGUUCUUGAGUGUCGGAGAGGCAGAUGGAAUUCCUAGUGUAGCGGUGGAAUGCGUAGAUAUUAGGAGGAACACCAGUGGCGAAGGCGAUCUGCUGGACGACAACUGACGCUGAGGCGCGAAAGCGUGGGGAGCAAACAGGAUUAGAUACCCUGGUAGUCCACGCUGUAAAC
rnacentral:rRNA from 1 species